rnacentral:rRNA from 1 species
ACUCAAAUGAAUUGACGGGGGCCCGCACAAGCGGUGGAGCAUGUGGUUUAAUUCGAUGCAACGCGAAGAACCUUACCUACCCUUGACAUGUCAAGAACCUCGGUUAAGCGCUGAGGGUGCCGAAAGGAACUUGAACACAGGUGCUGCAUGGCUGUCGUCAGCUCGUGUCGUGAGAUGUUGGGUUAAGUCCCGUAACGAGCGCAACCCUUGUCCUUCGUUGCCACCCGCAAGGGGGAACUCGAAGGAGACUGCCGAUGAUAAAUCGGAGGAAGGUGGGGAUGACGUCAAGUCAUCAUGGCCUUUAUGGGUAGGGCUACACACGUGCUACAAUGGGAUGAACAGAGGGAAGCCAACCUGCGAAGGGGAGCAAAUCCUGUAAAACAUCUCGUAGUCCGGAUCGGAGUCUGCAACUCGACUCCGUGAAGUUGGAAUCGCUAGUAAUCGCGGAUCAGAAUGUCGCGGUGAAUACGUUCCCGGGCCUUGUACACACCGCCCGU